UAAUUUCUUUUUUUUACAUUUAUUCAUUUUUAAGUUUAGGAAAUUGUUCAUAAGCCUUGAUAAAUGAAAAAUUAUUAAAUUUUAAUCAUGCAAAUGAUAUAUUUUUUGGAACCAUGCAGCCAUUUAAGUGCCAAACCACUUUGACAUUUUGUUAUCAUAACAAUUAUUUGAUCAUCAUUGAUAUUUAUUGAAUAAAUUUUAUUACAAUGUUGCUUCAUAUAUUAUAGUUCAAGAAAAAAUCAAAAAUUUAUUUUUAAAAUCAGUGUUUUCUUGUUCAGAGAAAAAUAAUCUCAAAACUGAAUUGUGACUUUUUGUCCUGUGACUUUUCGUCCGUGACUUUUUGUCCUGUGACUUUCUGUCCUGCAUUCUUCUUGAAGAGGGGGGAGAGUGCACUUCACGAUAAUCGAAAAAAGUGCCUUGCACGUUAUUUUCAUCUUCUUGUCUGAAACAGUCUGAAUAAUGAGCUCCAAGGCGAAGCGUGAAAACAAUAAGUCAUGUGAAGUACUAAUGACAAACACGUUGUACGGACAAACCCUUAAAUCCCUCAAUGUUAUGUCAAAUGAAUUAUAGCGAGGAAAGGUAAAUUUAAUCUAAUAUCAAAACUAAAUAUUUGUUAUAUUUCGCUCCUGAUUUCUCAAGAAAUCAUAGAAUCAAUAAAUGUAUAAAUUUUAAUUAUGCAUGUCUGUGUGAGAUCCAUUUCAUGAGACCAAGGAUUUCUAUAAAAUCCUUGAUGGGACCCUUUAUAUAUACAGUUUUCUAUUUUCUCCGGAAAUUUUUUUUAAAAAAUAUAAUCUUUUGGGAAAUAAUCCGAUUUUGUUGAAUUAUUUCCCUUCAUAAUUACGAUAAAUCCUUUUAGUUCUUCAAUUUUAAAUUAAAAUACAUAUUUCAUUUUGAUCUAACGACAAACUUUUUAAAUUGUAGUGGCAUGGUCAGUCAACUGAUUAGUUGCAUGGCUGAUUACCAGUUUACGGGCGACCCAGUAAUUUUCCAUAUAACAGUGGCCUGUACCCUUGGGGUCUUCUUCUGACCGGCAAUCAUGUGAAAACCUUAGCAGUAAUGAAAGUGGAACGUCCAGUGGGCUGUGCUCAGCCACGUCCGAAUGGGGACGUUGAAUUCUUGCAACAACUCUUCGAGUGGACUGACAAGAACUAUAGAAGAUACAGAGAAAUUAUAAACAGCAGAAAUGAUAGGCAAUUUAAAAUUUGCAGAAGUCAACAAAUCCUAAAUGGUGAUCAGACAUCUUGGUUUUCAUGAUCAAUAGGUCAAUACUGAAGAGGACACUGAAAGUUGAUAUCUAUCUACAUGGUGCGCUAAUUGGAUUAAUGUGAAAUGGAAUGUGUGCUUGCCUGCAAAAAAGAAAUAGGAAAUUUCAUCAUAAUCACAUGAUAAUGGCUAUAAACAAAAUGGAGUUCUAUCAUAGAUGCAGAAAUUCACAAUUGUAUACAUGUAAAUGCAACAACAUAUUAUAUAUAUUUGUCGAAAGAAGGGAGAAAUGAAGAGAAGAUAGUAUUUUGUUGUUGAAAGGAACACAAGCUUUAUCCACUCAUUACAUCCUCUCCUCAUAUCAAAUAUACUGAAGAAGAUCUUCGAAGAACAAAUUGCAAAAAUGUUUUCUCUAAGAAUUGAAGGAAAUUGUUUAUCAUGUUUAUUGAAUGGAAUAAUUUAUGCAUUGAACUUUUACGUAGUGGAUUGAAUAACUGUACACACAUGACACAGCAGCUGAAACAGAGGAAAAUUAAAAUUUACAGGAAAAGUGUUUAUUUUAUUAUUUAAUUUGCAAAUAUGAACGCAUUCUUAAGAACACCACAAAUGGUAUGACAUUCAAAUUGGUUGCUUAUUAAUGUAUACAAUUGAAACAAUAACAAAGAAAACAGAAUACUUUGCUACAAAAAAUAUUUUAUAAAUCAAAGUUAAAGUCAUAUAAAGUAUGUACAAUACCUUGACCUAAACAGUCAGACUCACUGUAUUGUUUUUGUAUGUCAUGAUAAUUUUGAGGCAAAAAUUUAUUAAAGUUUUAAAUAUCA